GACGAACGCUGGCGGCGUGCUUAACACAUGCAAGUCGAACGGGCCUUGUCCCCUUUUUUUUGGGGGUGGGGUUAGUGGCGAACGGGUGAGUAACACGUGAGUAACCUGCCCCUCACUUCUGGAUAACCGCUUGAAAGGGUGGCUAAUACGGGGUGUUCUGGCCUGCUCGCAUGGGUGGGUUUGGAAAGAUUCGACCGGUUUUGGUUGUUUUGGUGGGGGAUGGGCUCGCGGCCUAUCAGCUUGUUGGUGGGGGGAUGGCCUGCCAAGGCUUUGACGGGUAGCCGGCCUGAGAGGGUGGGCGGGCACACUGGGACUGAGACACGGCCCAGACUCCUACGGGAGGCAGGAGUGGGGAAUAGUGCACAAGGGGCGCAAGCCUGAUGCAGCGACGGCGCGUGAGGGAUGGAGGCCUUCGGGUUGUGAACCUCUUUCGCCAGUGAAGAAGGUCCUGCUCUUUGUGGUGGGGUUGACGGUAGCGGGGUUAAUGAAGCGCCGGCUAACUACGUG
rnacentral:rRNA from 1 species